AACGAACGCUGGCGGCAUGCCUAACACAUGCAAGUCGGACGAAGUCUUCGGACUUAGUGGCGCACGGGUGCGUAACGCGUGGGAAUCUGCCCUUAGGUACGGAAUAACUCAGGGAAACUUGUGCUAAUACCGUAUGAUGUCUUCGGACCAAAGAUUUAUCGCCUAGGGAUGAGCCCGCGUUGGAUUAGCUAGUUGGUGAGGUAAAGGCUCACCAAGGCGACGAUCCAUAGCUGGUCUGAGAGGAUGAUCAGCCACACUGGGACUGAGACACGGCCCAGACUCCUACGGGAGGCAGCAGUGGGGAAUAUUGGACAAUGGGCGCAAGCCUGAUCCAGCAAUGCCGCGUGAGUGAUGAAGGCCUUAGGGUUGUAAAGCUCUUUUACCCGGGAAGAUAAUGACUGUACCGGGAGAAUAAGCCCCGGCUAACUCCGUGCCAGCAGCCGCUGUAA
rnacentral:rRNA from 1 species